rnacentral:rRNA from 1 species
UGGAAAGCUCCGGCGGUGAAGGAUGAGCCCGCGGCCUAUCAGCUUGUUGGUGAGGUAACGGCUCACCAAGGCGACGACGGGUAGCCGGCCUGAGAGGGCGACCGGCCACACUGGGACUGAGACACGGCCCAGACUCCUACGGGAGGCAGCAGUGGGGAAUAUUGCACAAUGGGCGAAAGCCUGAUGCAGCGACGCCGCGUGAGGGAUGACGGCCUUCGGGUUGUAAACCUCUUUCAGCAGGGAAGAAGCGAAAGUGACGGUACCUGCAGAAGAAGCGCCGGCUAACUACGUGCCAGCAGCCGCGGUAAUACGUAGGGCGCAAGCGUUGUCCGGAAUUAUUGGGCGUAAAGAGCUCGUAGGCGGCUUGUCACGUCGAUUGUGAAAGCCCGAGGCUUAACCUCGGGUCUGCAGUCGAUACGGGCUAGCUAGAGUGUGGUAGGGGAGAUCGGAAUUCCUGGUGUAGCGGUGAAAUGCGCAGAUAUCAGGAGGAACACCGGUGGCGAAGGCGGAUCUCUGGGCCAUUACUGACGCUGAGGAGCGAAAGCGUGGGGAGCGAACAGGAUUAGAUACCCUGGUAGUCCACGCCGUAAACGGUGGGAACUAGGUGUUGGCGACAUUCCACGUCGUCGGUGCCGCAGCU